rnacentral:misc_RNA from 1 species
UCCGGUUUGUCACCGGCAGUCCCAUUAGAGUGCUCAACUAAAUGUGGCAACUAAUGGCAAGGGUUGCGCUCGUUGCGGGACUUAACCCAACAUCUCACGACACGAGCUGACGACAACCAUGCACCACCUGUAUACCGACCUUGCGGGGCACCCAUCUCUGAAUGUUUCCGGUAUAUGUCAAGCCUUGGUAAGGUUCUUCGCGUUGCAUCGAAUUAAUCCACAUGCUCCGCCGCUUGUGCGGGCCCCCGUCAAUUCCUUUGAGUUUUAACCUUGCGGCCGUACUCCCCAGGCGGAGAACUUAAUGCGUUAGCUGCGCCACCGAAAGCCUAAGGCCCCCGACAGCUAGUUCUCAUCGUUUACGGCGUGGACUAC